rnacentral:lncRNA from 1 species
UGCAGUCAUCUUUGCUGGACAUCCACUCCUAGGGAGAGUGGCAACAGUGCUGAACUUUCUCAAUUUAUAGACAAUUUGUCUUAAUGUGGAUUGAUGAACAUCAAGGCUUUUAGAGAUACUUUGGGCAAGGCAGCUCUAACCAACAUCUGCAAUCUCGUCUCAUUGAUUGGACUCCAGACCGCCCAGAAGUGCUAUCUGCAGCGUUAGCUCCAGAUAAAUCUUGUAAUUCUUCAGCCAUUCCUGGACCUGUGACCAAAAACAACCUACGUACGGACAGUACCAAACCUCUGCAGCGAAAUCUGCAGAGCUGGGAAGUUUGUCAAGCAGCCUCCUCCUUCCCUAACCAUAUGAAGACUGCAGGCAGCCAAUGCUAGGUACCACUGGGGGGUAGGAGACGUGCCAGCUCCUCAGGCAUAGGUCAUCGCUACUUGGGAAACACAAGGACAAAGAAGAUGAGAUUGAAAUGGAGGAAGUUGGAGUCACCACGUGAUGCUGCUGCCCCUCAGCUUUUUAACUGGAAGGACACUGGUGGACUGUCAGCUCUCAGACCUUUGUCAGAGGACGACACUAUAGACAUGUCACCUGUGCACCAGGCAGACAAUAGCUGCCCCCACGGUGACAAGGAUAGGCAGAUGCUGGAGAGACUGGACAUGCUGCUGAGUCUGCAAACAGGGCUGAUGGACAAUCACACCCUCGCCCUCACAGGAGACAUACAUAUACACUCAACGGCCACUUUAUUAGGCACACUGCCCGUUCACGAAAAUGGAUCGCUCCUACAGACAGUAUAAAGCAGGCUGACAGGCAUUGAGGCAUUCAGUUACUCUUUCGAGUGAACAUUAGAAUGGGCAAAAUGAGUGACCUAAGUGACUUUGAGCGUGAUAUGAUCGUCGGUGCCAGGCGUGCCGGAUUCAGUAUCUCAGAAACGUCCGCCCUCUUGGGCUUUUCACGCACAACACUGUCUAGGUUUUACCGAGAAUGGUGCGACAAACAAAAAACAUCCAUUCAGUGGCAAUCCUGUGGGCAAAAACAGCUUGUUGAUGUGAGAGGUUAAAUGUGAAUAGCAAGAAUCAUGCAAUCUAACAGGCGGGCCACAAACAGACAAAUAAUGGCACAGUGCAACAGUGGUGUGCAGAACGACAUAUCGGAAUGCACAUCUCGUCGAUCCUUGUCAUGGAUGGGCUAUUGCAGCAGAUGAUCACACCAGGUACCUCAUUAAAAACAAGAAGAUGCGGCUUCAUUGAGGAUGUGAUCACCAACACUGAACAAUUGAGGAGUGGAAAAACAUUGCCUGGUCCUACGAAUCCCUGUUCCUUUUGCGUCAUAGACGCAUUCUGCCUGGUGUGAACUGGUGGUGGUGUAUCGCUGUUCAAUCUGCAGCAACUACGUAAUGCCAUCACGUCAGCAUGGACCAACAUUCCUGUGGAACAUUUCCAACUUGUAGAAUCAAUGCCCCAGAGAAUUCAGGCUGUUCUGGAGGCAAAAGGGGUCCGACGAGCUACACAAAGUACUCAAACAUUUGUAAAAUAAACACUAAUAUAUCUUGAUUACUUGAGUAUUCAACCCCCUGAGUUAAUACAUGUUAGAAACACCUUUGGCAACGAUUACAGCUGUGAGUUUUUCUGGGUAAGUCUCUAAGAGCUUUGCACACUUGGAUUGUACAAUUUUGGCCUGUUAUUCUUUGAAAAAUUCUUCAAGCUCUGUCAAGUUGGACAGCCAUUUUCAAGUCUUGCAAUAGAUUUUCAAGCCGAUUUAGGUCAAAACUGUAACUAGGACACUCAGGAACAUUCAAUGUCAUCUUGGUAAGCAACUCCAGUGUAUAUUUAGCCUUGUGUUUUAGGUUGUUGUCCUGCUGAAAGGUGCAUUUGUCUCCCAGUGUGGCUCAGUUGGUAGAGCAUGGUGUUUGCAACGCCAGGGUUGUGGGUUCCACGGGGGACAGGGUUGUGGGUCCCAUGGUGGACCAGUAUGGGGAAAAAAAUGUAUGAAAUGUAUGGAUUCACUAUUGUAAGUCGCUCUGGAUAAGAGCGUCUGCUAAAUGACUAAAAUGUAAAUGUAAAUGCAGACACCGGAGGCAGAUGGUUUCAGUCUCCGAUAUUUAUUGAACAGGGCAGGCAAGAGGCAGGUCGAGGACAGGCAAGGUUCAUAAACCAGGUCAGAGUCCUGAAGGUGCACUGUGUCUGAUGGAAAGCAGACUGAACCAGAUUUUCUUUUAGGAUUUUGCCUGUGCCAAAAAAACUCCCUAGUCCUUGCCGAUAACAAGCAUACACAUAACAUGAUGCAACCACCAUCAUGCUUGAAAAUAUGAAGAGUGGCACUCAGGUAUGUGUUGUGUUGGAUUUGUACCAAACAUAAUGCUUUGUAUUCAGGAUAUAAAGUUAAUUUCUUUGCCACAUUGUUUUGCUGUUUUACUUUAGUGCCUUAUUGUAAACAAGAUGCAUGUUUUGAAAUAUGUGUUAUUCUGUAAAGGCUUCCUUCUUUUCACUGUCAAUUAGGUUAGUAUUGUG